AACAAACAGGAAGGUGGCUGCCACUUCCAGCGGCUUCACGGCAGAGCUUGUGCAAUCGCAGGACACAGCCUGGAUGGCCGAAGACAGCAGGGCAGUUGUGAACGGUCUACGCCAUGUCUCCUGCCCAAACCCUUUUCUGCUGCUCCCAACCAGAAAAUAAGGAUGGAGACAGCCUGCAGCCCCUCCUUUGCCAGUGAAAGAUCUGGUGGGGAGGCGUGGGGUCUCUGGGGGUCGGGGGGACAGGUAUGACGAUGCUGGUGCCCAUCUCUCUGGGGCAUUCCACCCCCUUUGGACUUCAUUGUCCCUGCUGUGUCACCAGGGGCCCUGCCACGCCCUGCCUCCGAGUGUGUGGGAUCUGUACCUGCUUUGCCCCCACUGGCCGCUUUCUCCAGGGCAGCCAUGAACAUCUCCAGUGUCCUCGGAGCAAGGAAGGAACGCUUCCUGGAGCAGAAGUGGCCACAAUGACGCUAGGUCAGCAGAUGGCCGCAGAGGCCUGGGCAGUGACCGGUCGGAGAACAAAGCCUGAGGUGUUCCCAGGCCGGUUUCCACGGGAGUCUUGGCAGUGACCCGUGCACGGAGGAGACGCGUGCCUUCCUGGCCCCCCAGUUUGGAUUCCUGGUGCCUCUAAGGUCUGCUGAUGGCGGAGCUGCACCCGGGAUAUUGCCACGGUUUCUACAGGACUGAACAAAGGGGGACCAACACAGAAAUGAAAACUUAAAACAAAACAGCCACUAAGGAAGGCGCAGAGGGACUUCCUUUCGGCCUGCAACAGUAUCUGUGCUGCCCAAGUUUCCUGGCACCACUGAUUGGAGACACUGUCCUUUUUCGGAGGAGUGAAUACACUCCCGUCGUUCAGACAUUGCAGUUAUCCAGCCCAG